CCGGGCCUUUCCCUCUGGGGAGCCGCAUGCCCUUCACUGGGCGUGUCGGGGAACCAGGACGUUUACUUUGAAAAAAUUAGAGUGUUCAAAGCAGGCUUAUGCUCGGAUACAUUAGCAUGGAAUAAUAGAAUAGGACGUGCGGUUCUAUUUUGUUGGUUUCUAGGACCGCCGUAAUGAUUAAUAGGGACAGUCGGGGGCAUCAGUAUUCAGUUGUCAGAGGUGAAAUUCUUGGAUUUACUGAAGACUAACUACUGCGAAAGCAUUUGCCAAGGAUGUUUUCAUUAAUCAGGAACGAAAGUUAGGGGAUCGAAGACGAUCAGAUGCCGUCGUAGUCUUAACCAUAAACUAUGCCGACUAGGGAUCGGACGGUGUUAUUUU
rnacentral:rRNA from 1 species